UUGAUACGUAGUUACUGCCGUGCUAUGGUUCUUUCAUUUGUCGGAGUUUCUCUGGUCGUGUUCCGUACAUUCCAAAAUUAAUGUGUUAAUUUAAUUAUUCAUUCGUUUAAUUCUUUAUCUAUGCCCUCAUUCAUUCGUUUAUUGAGCUUUCAAUCAGUCACCACGGCGGUUCAUCCGUCGCAGUACUCAUUCAACUUCCAACCACGAAGGGUAGGAGUUAUACAUGGCAUCGCUUAAUUCAUUCACGGGUACCUAUCCGGAGAUGCUGCCGCCGUAGCUGCUGUUUGACCGGACUCCCCCUGUUCACCAGGGGGAGUCCACCGUCCCCUGGGACUGCGCGGCCUCCCACCGCCCCCGGGGUCCCAGGGGACCCGGUCCCCGAGGACAUGUCUUC